ensembl:lncRNA
GAGAAUUGAUAGGUACUCUGAUGGGCUUUCUGCCCUACCAGCUGUCAUGGUAACCCCACUGAUAAUGCUGCCAUGUCAGCAUAGCAAAGGAAUAAGUGUCAGGUUCAGCUCUGCCUGCCCUUGGGCUGCACUUUCCUUCCUCCUCUUUCAGCCAAAGCAACACCUUGCUGAUGUGCUGGGUCGGUGUGUGGUUGAGCCCCAGCCUGAAGCACUGAUGGAGCACCUGGGGAAAGGACCCGGUCAGCCCUGGGAGCACAGGUGAAGGCAAUGCAGCUGUGUGAUAGGAAGGGGUGGAGCCUGGCUGCACCUCUCUUAGACCUUAUUUAAGGGCUGACUGCCCCUGGGGAAGGGUCUCUUUCUGGAGAUCCCUCCUUGGUGGAGCUUUCUGCUGUGAACCUGGAAUCUUCUGAUAUGGGCUCUGGAAAUCUCUGGACUCGUUGUCAGGAAGGUGAGCACAAAUAUGACUUUUUCAGCACUGAAGGCAUUAAUGGCAUUCAGCAAAGUAGACAGCAGGAGCUGGAGGCUCAGAAGGAAUACAGUGUGCAGGCUGUCAGCAUGGAGACACUGAGCUCAACUUCACCACGACAGGCAGCCCCCAGCACAGCUGUAACAAAGAGCUUCUGUCUUGAGUAGAGUUGGUGCCAGUGGCUGACAUCUGACAUCCAAAGCCCAAGGCGAUGGGCACGUGGUGAAGGUGAUGACCUACUUAUGGCUGCAUCAGCAGGGAAGAGAAUGAACGCUAUAAGAGAAGUGGACCAUUCAUUGACAUCAGAGCCCAGAUAUGAUGGCAACUAGCUUUCAAGUAUGGGUUGUUUGUAUCCAGAGAGAGAAACUGCACCUUUCCUGAUGGGGUAGGUGAGGCUGCCAUACUGCUCGCAGUGGUUGUGUUUUGUGUGGAUGGAGUGAGGUUGGUAGGCAUCAAGAAGAGCUUCAGGUUGGAUAUUGUGAAAAAUAUCUCUGAAAGAGUGGUCAGGCAGUGAAAUGGGCUGCCUGGGGGGGUAGUUGGCUCACUGUCCCUGGAGACAUUCAAGAAAUAUUUAGAUUUGGUGCUAAGGGAUAUGGUUUAGUGGGGUUACAUGGGUGGUAGGUGGGUGGUUGGACUGGAUGAUCUUGGAGGUCUUCUCCAAUCUUAGUGAGUCUACGAUUCUCCUCCUCAGAGCAGCAGGUUCUUAUGCUUAUAUGGUGUUUUGUGAGGAGGAUCAGGGUGUAAGCUGCCUAAUAUGCGUGCUCUCUCUUUAGAAAAUAGCAUAUUUGAAUUAGAACUGUUUAAUGUUCAAAUAAAUCAUGUCUUAUUAUUAUUACUACUAGGAUUCUAUAGCAACUCAUGGGUGUUACAGUUUUACUUCUCUUUUCAUACAAUUGUAGACUCUUAGUAUCAUUAAAAUUGGAAAAGAACCCUAAGAUCACUGAGCCCAACCCCAGCCCACCCCUGCUGUGCCCACAUCCCUCAGUGCCACAUCCCCACAGUUCUGGAGCACCUCUAGGGAUGGUGAUUCCAACACCUCUCUAGGCAAACUUCUGUUGUUCCUUGUAAGCCUUUCCACCUCUAGAGAGAGCCACAGGGAUGCUCAUUGUGCAGCUUCCAUUUCACCAAGGUUGUAGUCUCAUCCCCACAAUGGCUGGGGGAUUUGGUUGAAGAUAUAUUUAAAGGUAAAACAAUUACUGAACCCAUUGGCAGUAAGAGGCUUCCUCACCACGUCCCCAUCCCAUAAUACACAGCUCAGAGUAAGAAAGGUCACAGAUACCCAUUGCUCAUCGCAAUAAACCUAACAAAUAAUUGGCUGGGAGUAAUGGGAUGAAAAUGAGAGGAAGGGAUAGUUAAGCUGACUGCCGGGGAAGCUUUCCCUAGAGAUCAAUUUUACAGGGGAAGAAGUUCUGGGACAGAGAUGAUUGAAACUUCACAUGUUCAGAGAUGAUCUGGGAAAAUAAUGGAGUUACGGUGUGUGUCAGUGACCCAGCCCAGAAAUCCUCCUGAGUUUGCUGGGGAAGGAUUUUUUUUAUUGUUCUUGCACAUCAUAUGGAAAAAAAUAAAUCACGUAGAGUCAGCCUGGCAUGUUUUCAUUAGGCAGAUAAAUACUGUGCUUUAUUGUGGCGCUAUUUACCUGGCUUAUGUGCAUCUUUCUCGCUUGAUGGUGGCCACUUUUACAUAGAAAGAACACAAUUUAAUCUAAAAGGAACAGAAAAACCAACACAAAAUUAAAGUGUUCCUGCGUUUCCGUAGCACAGCGUUUCCAUUUAGAUGCUUUCCAAAUGAAACAGUGGUAUAUUUCCAAUUUCCUCUAUUACUGCGUGCACAGAGCACGAGUUGAAUUCGGUCAGAAAUGAAACGUAGUCUCAUUCACUCUGAAUCUCAGCUUAUUAAUUGCAUCUUCUUUUUCAUCUUCUGUUUUUUUUUGUCUUGCUGUACCUGAGGUGCUUAAAGCCAGACAGAAUUCAGAUGCCAACAGAAAGCUCCAGACUGCCACAGGAGGAGAAGAAAGGAAGACGAGAAGAAAGAAAAUGAGAUGGGAUUUUCCUUAUCUUCCGCUUGCUGUGGGAACUGCUGAGCACAUGCUGGCUGCAGGGGAGACCCCAGAGUGCUUCCUUUCCUUCGUGCUGUGCCCACCAUGUGGAAUACAGAGCCAAUUUAGAUGGCAAUAUGCGCUAAACUGUGCAGGGAGCUGAAGCCGUGUGAGGAGCACAGGGGGCAUACAAAGCAGAGGAUGAGCACAGAUCACAGCAGAGGAAGUUAUCUGGGAUUUCUUCCAUCUUGUGGAGACCCCGUGAUCCGCUUGCCAAUGCCCUGCACUGAACAAAGCUGCUGGCUUUCUGUGGGUGGCAGUGAAGGAACGAUUUUUGCUUCUCUCCUCCCUUCUCACCCCAAGAAAAUAAUGUGUGGAAACACAUCUGAGUCGCAGAAGUCUAAAACUGUCUGGAAAUCCCACCUUCAACCACGUGAACUGCAUUUCACUUUUAUUUCACUUUAUUGGGUCUUCAUUUUAAUAUGAUUAGUUUAUAGGAUUUCUUGACAGAGCAGUAAUAGAAC